UCUCAGUUCGGAUUGGAGUCUGCAACCCGACUCCAUGAAGCUGGAUUCGCUAGUAAUCGCGCAUCAGCCACGGCGCGGUGAAUACGUUCCCGGGCCUUGUACACGCCGCCCGUCAAGCCAUGGAAGCCGGGGGUGCCUGAAGUGCGCUGCCGCAAGGAGCGCCCUAGGGUAAAACCGGUGACUGGGGCUAAGUCGUAACAAGGUAUC
rnacentral:rRNA from 1 species